rnacentral:misc_RNA from 1 species
AACUUUUAACAACGGAUCACUUGGCUCUCGCAUCGAUGAAGAACGCAGCUAAAUGCGAUAAGUAAUGUGAAUUGCAGAAUUCAGUGAAUCAUCGAAUCUUUGAACGCACCUUGCGCUCCUUGGUAUUCUGAGGAGCAUGCCUGUCUGAGUGUCAUGAAAUUCUCAACUGCUUUAGCUUUUGUGGUUGAAGUAAAGUUGGAUUUGGAGGAAUAAUUGCUGGCGUAACCUUUUAAGGUUGCUUGUUAGUUACUUUAAAAUUGAUGAACUUUCCAGUAGUGUAAAAGUAACUACAAUGUGAUAAUUAUCUACGUUGGAUGAACUUGUACAAGGAAAGAUGAAUCUGUCUUGGACCCCCUUGACGAAACAAAUGACAAAUUUGACCUCAAAUCAGGUAGGACUACCCGCUGAACUUAAGAAUAUCAAUAAGCGGAGGCU